rnacentral:rRNA from 1 species
GGUAGCAGACAGCUAGGUUUGACGGAAGAAUAACAGCCUGCCGUCAAACGAAGUUGUCACUAUCACAGACACCAAUGUCAGCAAGACAAAA